CCCUUAGAUGUUCUGGGCCGCACGCGCGCUACACUGAUGCAUUCAACGAGUCUAAAACCUGGUCUGAUAGGGCUGGGUAAUCUUUUGAAAGUGCAUCGUGAUUGGGAUAGAUGAUUGCAAUUCUUCAUCUUCAACGAGGAAUGCCUAGUAAACGCAAGUCAUCAGCUUGCAUUGAUUACGUCCCUGCCCUUUGUACACACCGCCCGUCGCUCCUACCGAUUGAAUGAUCCGAUGAAUACCAUGGAUUGAGAGUACGAAUGGGUUCGCUCCUUUCUGCUGCUCGAGAAGUGGAGUAAAUCUUAUCAUUUAGAGGAAGGAGAAGUCGUAACA
rnacentral:rRNA from 1 species